rnacentral:rRNA from 1 species
AGCAGCCGCGGUAAUUCCAGCUCCAAUAGCGUAUAUUAAAGUUGCUGCAGUUAAAAAGCUCGUAGUUGAAUUUCGGGACCAUCAUGUCGGUCGUGCCUCGGUACGUACUGGUAUUGUUGGUUUCUCCCUUCUGACGAACCAUGAUGUCAUUUAUUUGGUGUUGUGGGGAAUCAGGACUGUUACUUUGAAAAAAUUAGAGUGUUUAAAGCAGGCUCACGCUUGAAUACAUUAGCAUGGAAUAAUGAAAUAGGACGUUUGAUUCUAUUUUGUUGGUUUCUAGGAUCGACGUAAUGAUUAAUAGGGAUAGUUGGGGGCAUUAGUAUUCAAUUGUCAGAGGUGAAAUUCUUGGAUUUAUUGAAGACUAACUACUGCGAAAGCAUUUGUCCAAGGAUGUUUUCUAUUAAUCAAGAACGAAAGUUAGGGGAGUCGAAGACGAUCAGAUACCGUCGUAGUCUUAACCAUAAACUAAUGCCGACUAGGGAUUUCGGAUGAUGUUAAUUUUUAAUUGACUCAUUCGGCG